rnacentral:rRNA from 1 species
UACGUAGGGUGCAAGCGUUAAUCGGAAUUACUGGGCGUAAAGCGUGCGCAGGCGGUUUUGCAAGACAGAUGUGAAUUCCCCGGGCUCAACCUGGGAACUGCAUUUGUGACUGCAAGGCUAGAAUCUGGCAGAGGGGGGUAGAAUUCCACGUGUAGCAGUGAAAUGCGUAGAUAUGUGGAGGAAUACCGAUGGCGAAGGCAGCCCCCUGGGCUAAGAUUGACGCUCAUGCACGAAAGCGUGGGGAGCAAACAGG